rnacentral:rRNA from 1 species
AACGAACGCUGGCGGCAUGCCUAACACAUGCAAGUCGAGCGAGGCAUUCGGGUUUGGUGGCGGAUGGGUGAGUAACGCGUUGGAUAAUGCGUUUGUGAUCUGAAUAACUAACCGGAAGAGCUGCUGAUAACGGAGAAUGUUUCCGGAUCAAAGCUUUAUCGUCUUUGGAAGUGCGUGCGUUGGAUUAGCUCGUUGGUAGGGUAAAAGCCUACCAAGGCGACGAUCCGUAGCUGGUCUGAGAGGAUGAUCAGCCACACUGGGACUGAGACACGGCCCAGACUCCUACGGGAGGCAGCAGUGGGGAAUAUUGGACAACGGGCGAAAGGCUGAUCCAGCAAUGCCGCGUGAGUGAUGAAGGCCUUAGGGUUGUAAAGCUCUUUUACACGGGAUGAUAAUGACAGUACCGGGAGAAUAAGCUCCGGCUAACUCCGUG